AGUGAACGCUGGCGGCGUGCUUAACACAUGCAAGUCGAACGAGAACGGAUUAUAGCUUGCUAUAAUUGUCAGCUAAGUGGCGCACGGGUGAGUAAUGUAUAGGUAAUAUGCCUCUUACUAAGGGAUAACAAAUGGAAACGUUUGCUAAUACCUUAUACUCCUUAUUAACAUAAGUUAAUAAGGGAAAGAUUUAUUGGUAAGAGAUUAGCCUGUAUUGUAUCAGUUAGUUGGUGGGGUAAUGGCUUACCAAGACUAUGACACAUAACUGGUUUGAGAGGAUGAUCAGUCACACUGGAACUGAGACACGGUCCAGACUCCUACGGGAGGCAGCGGUGGGGAAUAUUGCACAAUGGACGGAAGUCUGAUGCAGCAACGCCGCGUGGAGGAUGACACAUUUCGGUGCGUAAACUCCUUUUAUAUGAGAAGAUAAUGACGGUAUUAUAUGAAUAAGCACCGGCUAACUCCGUGCCAGCCGCCGCCGUAAGAC
rnacentral:rRNA from 1 species